ACGUUGGGGACCUCUGGUCCCUCGGCGAGAUAGAACCCUUUGCUUUGAGUACCACACGUUUCCUCGGCGGGUGCGCCCGCCAACGGGGACAGCAACAAAACCUUUUAUGAAGCAAUAACCGUUCUCUAAAACAAAACUUA
rnacentral:misc_RNA from 1 species